AUGAAACACUGUCUCUCAUCUGAUCACAAAUGUUAAGCAAUAUCGAGCCUGAUCAGUACGUUGAUGGGUGACUGCUUUGGAAUACCAGUGCUGUAAG